GGUGUGAUAGCUUAAUUGGUAAGAGUAUCGGAUUCAUAAUCCGAAGGUCGAGGGUUCAAAUCCCUCUCACACCA
rnacentral:tRNA from 1 species